AAAUUUCAAGGACAAGGAAUAUGAAAACAAUUCUUAUGUAGCACAAGUAUUCUAAUUAAGAUUAGAAAUAAAGAUUUUGGAAAAUAUCAUGAUAGAUAAUUUAUUUUAAGAAGGUUACCAAAGUUACAUAAAGUCUCUUAUAUCAAAAUAUUAAGUGAGAGAAGGUCAUAGGCUCAUCACUAUCCUAAAGAUGGGGUGGCCUUAGGAAUCAAAGGAUGUGGACUAUCCUUAUGGACAAUAUUAUAUAUGCUUAUAGUGGGAG
rnacentral:lncRNA from 1 species